rnacentral:rRNA from 1 species
AGCGAACGCUGGCGGCAGGCCUAACACACGCAAGUCGAACGAACCUUUCGGGGUUAGUGGCGGACGGGUGAGUAACACGUGGGAACGUGCCUUUAGGUUCGGAAUAACUCAGGGAAACUUGUGCUAAUACCGAAUGUGCCCUUCGGGGGAAAGAUUAAUCGCCUUUAGAGCGGCCCGCGUCUGAUUAGCUAGUUGGUUGAGGUAAUGGCUCACCAAGGCGACGAUCAGUAGCUGGUCUGAGAGGAUGAUCAGCCACAUUGGGACUGAGACACGGCCCAAACUCCUACGGGAGGCAGCAGUGGGGAAUCUUGCGCAAUGGGCGGAAGCCUGACGCAGCCAUGCCGCGUGAAUGAUGAAGGUCUUAGGAUUGUAAAAUUCUUUCACCGGGGACGAUAAUGACGGUACCCGGAGAAGAAGCCCCGGCUAACUUCGUG